UACGUAGGGUGCAAGCGUUAAUCGGAAUUACUGGGCGUAAAGCGCACGUAGGCGGCUUUGUAAGUUAGAGGUGAAAGCCCGGAGCUCAACUUCGGAAUUACCUUUAAGACUGCAUCGCUUGAAUCAUGGAGAGGUCAGUGGAAUUCCGAGUGUAGAGGUGAAAUUCGUAGAUAUUCGGAAGAACACCAGUGGCGAAGGCGACUGACUGGACAUGUAUUGACGCUGAGGUGCGAAAGCGUGGGGAGCAAACAGG
rnacentral:rRNA from 1 species